rnacentral:rRNA from 1 species
UACGAAGGGGGCUAGCGUUGUUCGGAUUUACUGGGCGUAAAGCGCACGUAGGCGGAUGGUUAAGUCAGGGGUGAAAUCCCAGAGCUCAACUCUGGAACUGCCUUUGAUACUGGCCAUCUUGAGUCCGGAAGAGGUGAGUGGAACUCCUAGUGUAGAGGUGGAAUUCGUAGAUAUUAGGAAGAACACCAGUGGCGAAGGCGGCUCACUGGUCCGGUACUGACGCUGAGGUGCGAAAGCGUGGGGAGCAAACAGG